GUGACCUCGGAUCGGUAGCAUCUCAGC
rnacentral:rRNA from 1 species